UUAAAUUGAAGAGUUUGAUCAUGGCUCAGAUUGAACGCUGGCGGCAGGCCUAACACAUGCAAGUCGAACGGUAGCACAGAGAGCUUGCUCUCGGGUGACGAGUGGCGGACGGGUGAGU
rnacentral:rRNA from 1 species